GUAUGUGUUCUAAAAUUAUGGGAAACUCCUAUAAUUCUGAUAUGACUUACUGUACAUUAUCAGUAAUAAUGUUAUGUUACAUUAUUUUGUGCCACAGAGGUAGCAAAUUUCCUUGUCAAUUGUAUCUUUGACUAUGGCUGCCCUAAACUUUUUGUUAUCCACAGACAAUUGUCUUGUUUUGGUCCUCUUUAGAAGGUGGUUUUAUAGCUGGGUGCGGUGGCUCAUGCCUGUAAUUUCAGCACUUUGGGAGGCUGAGGUGGGUGGAUCAUGAGGUCAAGAGUUCAAGACCAGCCUGGCCAAAAUGGUGAAACCCUGUCUCUACUAAAACUACAAAAAUUAGCAAGGCAUGGUGGCAGGUGCCUAUAAUCCCAGGUACUGAGGAGGCUGAGGCAGGAGAAUCACUUGAACCCGGGUGGCAGAGGUGGCAGUGCACUGAGAUCAUACCACUGCACUCCAGCCUGUGUGACAGAGUGAGACUCCAUCUCAAAAAAAUAAAAAGAAAGAAAGUGGUUUUAUAAUCAGCUGUAGAACUCUAAAAGGUGCUCUUGAAUGCAGGUUUCUGGUAACUUUGGAGAUUGUGACAUCAGAAUAGAGGAAAAACUUUCGGGACUCAUGGAGAGCUGAAAUGUUCAUGAAUAUCAAGCAGAACAGGAAUGAACUACAUGGACUGAACUUAUAGAAGACUAAAGUAAUCUUUUUGACUUUUUGCUUAAAACGUUGUUGAUCCUUUGUUUUUUUCAGAGUCAAGGAAACUUUUCUUUUGAGCUAUUGACUGCUUUUAACAAGUUAUUAUACUCCUAUGAACAAAAUUUGGAGCAUAUUUGUUUCUCUCUGCCUGAUUUCUCCUGAAUUUGGAAACUAUUUGACAUGAGGAUUCUCAACCUGAUAAAAAUGAGCUUUCCUAAUAACUCAAGACCCACCUGCCUAGGAAUAAACCAUCCCAGCUGUGAGAGACCAGACGAAACCUGAGACCAGAGACUCGUUUUCUUCUAAAAUGCUUUCUCCAAAAGAUUUUUAAACAGAAAAGGGGGGAAAUGUGAAAGGAAAAGAAAACUUGAGGCCCCCAAAAUCACUAAGCUAAAAGGAAAAGUCAAGCUGGGAAUGGCUUAGGGCAAACCUGCCUCCCAUUCUAUGCAAAGUCAUCCCUCCAUGCACUGAGAUAAAUGCUUAUCUAAUUGCCUCCUUUGGAGAGGCUCAUCAGAAACUCAAAAUAAUGCAACUAUUUGACUCUCACCUACCUGUGACCUGGAAGAUCCCUCUCUGCUUGAGUUGUCCUGCUUUUCUGGAUGGAACCAAUGUUCAUCUUACAUAUAUUGAUUGAUGUCUCAUGUCUCCCUAAAAUGUAUAAAACCAAGCUGUGCCCUGACCACCUUGGGCACAUGUCGUCAGGACCUCCUGAGGCUGUGCCACAGGCAUGCAGCCUCAACCUUGGCAAAAUAAACUUUCUAAAUUAACUGAGACCAGUCUCAGAUAUUCAGGGUUCACAGUAUCCAAAAAUCCAAUCACAUCGAAACUGCCUUUGCAAAAAUUAUCACAGUGAGAAAAAAACGGCAGUGAAAGAAAGCUGAUCUAGCCAACCUCCCUCUUGCCUUUAGCUUUCAAGCUGCUUUUACUUAUUCCUGGGUUUAAGCCAAGCUACAUGUGGGAGUCAUUUAGUUUAUAGUUUAAAUUAUAAUAACCCUUCCCCCAAACUCAACCACCCUUGUAAUACUAAUGAGAGACCACCAGGCUAGGAGGAGGAGAGGAGCCUAAAUUCUGCUAAGGUGUAGACAAAAACAAUUGUGAGGUGUUAUUCCAGAAGCCACAAGAUAUGCAACUUCCUCAGUUACCCCUGCAGAUAAUAUUACUUUUGUAGAACCUAGGAUUGGCCUUCUGAGAUAUCUUCUCAGGAUUUUGCAUGUCUGAUGACCGAUGGCUCCACCAGGACCAGCCAACGGCUUUUGUGUCCCCACCCAGAAGCGACUCAGAGAAAGAGGACAGCUUCGACACCCUAUGAUUUCAUCUCUGACCCAACCAAUCAGCACUCCCCAUACCCUAGCCUGCUACCUACCAAAUUACCUUUGAAAAAUCCCUAACCUCCAAGCCUUAGAUGAGUUUGAUUUGAGUAAUAACUCUGCCUCCCACAUGGUGUGGCUGGCGUCAUGUCAAUUAACCUCUUUCUUUACUGCAAUGCCAUGGUCUCCAUAAACUGAUUUUGCAUGUGCAGUGGGCAGGAAGAACCCAUCGGGCAGCUACACAUCUUGAAAGAGAAGCUCUUCCUGUGAGGUACAUCAACUGUGGUUAAGAAUCUUACAUACUUAUCAUUUUUUGUUGUUGUGAGAACAUUUAAAAUCUACCCUUUUCUUUUCUUUUUUUUUUUUUGAGAUGGCGUCUCACUCUGUUGCCCAGGCUGGAGUGCAAUGGCAUGAUCUUGGCUCACCACAACCUGCUGGGUUCAAGUGAUUCUCUUGCCUCAGCCUCCUGAGUAGCUGGGAUUACAGGCAUGCACCACUCUUUUAGCAAUUUUAUUUAUUUAUUUAUUUUGUUAUUUUGAAAAAGUAUUUUUAACUUUUACUUUAGAUUAAUGGGGUAUAUGUGCAGGCUUGCUAUAUGGGUAUAUUGUGUGAUGCUGAGGUUUGGGGUAUGAAUGAUCCUGUCAGCCAGAUCGUGAGCAUCGUACACAAGCAAUUUUAAAAUAUACAAAUGGUGUGGUAUGGUGGUACAUGCCUGUAGUCCCAGCUACUCAAGAGGAUGGGGCCAGAGGAUCGCUUGAGCCUAGGUGUUUGACACCAGCCUAGACAACAUUGUGAGACUCUGUCUCAAAAAUAAUAAAUAACAAAACAAAAUAAAAUAUACAAUGCAUUAUUAUUUAAUGCAGUCAUUAUUCUGUGCAAUAAAUCACUAAAGCUUAUUUUUCCUGUCUAACUGAAACUUUGUACUCUUUGAUGAACUUCUCCGCUUUCCCCAUCCACCCCACUUCCCUGGAUUGUAUUAAAUUAAAUUGUAUUAUAUUGAAUUUACCAGAAUUAAUCACUACAUUAGAAGAAACUCCAGUGGGUAUUCCUAAAAUUAUGGAGAGGUAGAUAGAUUUAAAAGCAAAAGAAAUGCUGCAAUUUCUUCAGAGUUCAUAAGAGAACUUCUAUUGGAGAAAUGGAAAAUUUGAGCUGGCUAAGCCUUGAGACCUCCCAAGACUAAGUUAUAGGAGUUUAGCCUUCUAAACUACCUCAGGGUACAGCCUGGUCUUAAUUUUUAAUUUUUAAUUUAUUUUUAUUUUUAUUUUUGAGACAGAGUCUCACUCUGUCGCCUAGGCCAGAGUUUAGUGGUGCACAAUCUCGGCUCGCUGCAGCCUCCGCCUCCCAGGUUCAAGCAUUUCUCUUGCCUCAGCUUCCCGAGUAGCUGGGAUUACAGGCAUGUGCCACCAUGCCCGGCUAACUUUUGUAUUUUUAGUGGAGAUGGCGUUUCACCAUGUUGGCCAGGCUGGUCUUGAAGUCCUGACCUCAGGUGAUCUGCCCACCUUGGCCUCCCAAAGUGCUAGGAUUACAGGCGCGAGCCACUGUGCCCAGCCUAUUUUUUAUUUUUAUGGGUACCUAGUAGAUGUAUAUAUUAAUGGGGUACAGAAGAUAUUUUGAUAGAGACAUACAAUGUGUAACAAUCAUGUCAGGGUAAAUGGAGUAUCCGUCAGCUCAAGCACUGAUGCUUUCUUCAUGUUUCACACAAUCCGGUUAUACUCUUUUAGUUAUUUUUAAAUGUAUAAUAAAUUGACUGUAGUCACUCCAUUGUCCUAUCAAAUAUUAGAUUUUAUUCUAUCUAACUAUAUUUUUGUACCCAUUAACCAUCGCUCAUUUUCUCCACCCCCAACUACCCUUUCCAGACUCUGGUAGCCAUCAUUCUACUCUAUCUCCACGGGCUCAAUUGUUUUGAGUUUUAGAUUCCACAAAUAAACGAGAACAUGUGAAGCUUGUCUUUCUGUGCCUGGCUUAUUUCAUGUAACAUAAUUU
rnacentral:lncRNA from 1 species